rnacentral:rRNA from 1 species
AUUGAACGCUGGCGGCAUGCUUUACACAUGCAAGUCGAACGGCAGCGCGGGCUUCGGCCUGGCGGCGAGUGGCGAACGGGUGAGUAAUGCAUCGGAACGUGCCCAGUAGUGGGGGAUAGCCCGUCGAAAGCCGGAUUAAUACCGCAUACGACCUGAGGGUGAAAGCGGGGGACCGAAAGGCCUCGCGCUAUUGGAGCGGCCGAUGUCGGAUUAGCUAGUUGGUGGGGUAAAGGCUUACCAAGGCGACGAUCCGUAGCUGGUCUGAGGGGACGACCAGCCACACUGGGACUGAGACACGGCCCAGACUCCUACGGGAGGCAGCAGUGGGGAAUUUUGGACAAUGGGGGCAACCCUGAUCCAGCCAUGCCGCGUGCGGGAAGAAGGCCUUCGGGUUGUAAACCGCUUUUGUUCGGGAAGAAAUCCUCUGGGCUAAUACCCCGGGGGGAUGACGGUACCGGAAGAAUAAGCACCGGCUAACUACGUG